rnacentral:tmRNA from 1 species
GGGGCUGACCUGGUUUCGACGGGAUCAAGUAGCUUUUAACUGCAUGUCGGACUGAGCAUUUCCGUUAUACGGCUCAAAAUUGCUUAAACGCAAACAAUACAAAUUACCGCCCAGCUUACGCAGUAGCAUAAGUUUUACCCCCUCUUAGAGGACGGGCUGCUUCACCUAUGGACUCUAGAUAAAUAGGAUUCGAAGUAUAACCCCUAUGUAGAUAUACUAUAUGUCCGCCUCGUGCAUAUAAUGAACCCUAGAGGAUCGUCUUGUGUAGCUUUGCAAGUUGUGUGAAGCAAGAUUAAACUUAAACGGCUUUUCUAAGCAUGUAGACGUUAGGAGUAGCGUGGUUUCGGACUGGAGUUCGAUUCUCCACAGCUCCACCA